AGGGCAAGUCUGGUGCCAGCAGCCGCGGUAAUUCCAGCUCCAAUAGCGUAUAUUAAAGUUGUUGCAGUUAAAAAGCUCGUAUUUGAAUUUCGGGAUCAAUCUAUCGGUCGUGCAAUAGUACGUACUGAUUUUAUUGAUUCCUCCCUUCUGAUGAACUAUGAUGUCAUUAAUUUGGUGUCAUAGGGAAUCAGGACUGUUACUUUGAAAAAAUUAGAGUGUUUAAAGCAGGCUCACGCUUGAAUACAUUAGCAUGGAAUAACGAAAUAGGACGUUUGAUUCUAUUUUGUUGGUUUCUAGGAUCGACGUAAUGAUUAAUAGGGAUAGUUGGGGGCAUUAGUAUUCAAUUGUCAGAGGUGAAAUUCUUGGAUUUAUUGAAGACUAACUACUGCGAAAGCAUUUGCCAAGGAUGUUUUCAUUAAUCAAGAACGAAAGUUAGGGGAUCGAAGACGAUCAGAUACCGUCGUAGUCUUAACCAUAAACUAUGCCGACUAGGGAUCGGAUGAUGUUAAUUUUUUAAUGACUCAUUCGGCGCCUUACGGGAA
rnacentral:rRNA from 1 species